UCGUCGACGACGCGGCGCGGGUUGCUGUCGGUCUGGGAGACUUGACACAUCGAAAUGUCUUUUCUGCUGAAUCGUGUUUGUAAAUACAAUCCCGUUUUCACGGGUUUAAUAAGGACUGGCAGAAUCUGGAACAGUGUUAAUGUCACCGAGAAAAUCCCAACCUUGAAACACGACAGAGCAGCACAGUGUUUCACUGUAAGCUUGAACACAGCUGGCAAUCAUGACAACGCCACCCUGCGGUACAAUCUAACUGGCGACGGAGAAAUCGAUCUAAUGUCAACCAAUGUUCCUGAGUCAUUCCGUGGCCAAGGUAUUGCAGCACACCUUGCCAAGGCCGCCUUGGACUUUGUUGUGGAGGAAAAGUUGAAGGCUCACAUUUCUUGUUGGUACAUCAAAAAAUAUGUGGAGGAGAACCCUGACUUGGGGUACAGUAAUCACAUAGUCGAUUAAUUGUUGCGAAAUUAGCCUACUGCCCUAGGCACCAGUCCAAAUGACCUACCUCUAUGUCUAGCUAUUUCCCCCUCAUUAUAAUGAAGAUAUUGUCUGGCGGCUUGCAGGUUUGAAAUGUCUGCAAUAUCCUAUGGACUUCAAAAAUAGCUGGACUAUUGUAAUUUUAAACUUAAUUCAUUGCAGAAAUGCUGUCAUUGAACAUACUAUUUACUGAUGUGAUUGCUGAAUGUUCUUAAAUAAAUGUUUUAAUUUUUUUAAUGUU